CCUACGGGUGGCAGCAGUGGGGGAUAUUGCACAAUGGGGGAAACCCUGAUGCAGCGACGCCGCGUGUGGGAAGACGGUCCUCUGGAUUGUAAACCACUGUCCCCAGGGACGAAGAUGACGGUACCUGGGGAGGCAGCUCCGGCUAACUACGUGCCAGCAGCCGCGGUAAUACGUAGGGAGCGAGCGUUGUCCGGAAUUACUGGGUGUAAGGGGAGCGUAGGCGGGACUGCAAGUUGGGUGUCAAAUCUACCGGCUCAACCGGUAGCCGCACUCAAAACUGCAGUUCUUGAGUGAAGUAGCGGCAGGCGGAAUUCCUAGUGUAGCGGUGAAAUGCGUAGAUAUUAGGAGGAACACCAGUGGCGAAGGCGGCCUGCUGGGCUUUGACUGACGCUGAGGCUCGAAAGUGUGGGGAGCAAACAGGAUUAGAUACCCUUGUAGUC
rnacentral:rRNA from 1 species